UGGGGAAUAUUGGACAAUGGGGGCAACCCUGAUCCAGCCAUGCCGCGUGUGUGAAGAAGGCCUUUUGGUUGUAAAGCACUUUAAGCAGUGAAGAAGACUCCAUGGUUAAUACCCAUGGACGAUGACAUUAGCUGCAGAAUAAGCACCGGCUAACUCUGUGCAAGCAGCCGCGGUAAUACAGAGGGUGCAAGCGUUAAUCGGAAUUACUGGGCGUAAAGCGAGCGUAGGUGGCUUGAUAAGUCAGAUGUGAAAUCCCCGGGCUUAACCUGGGAACUGCAUCUGAUACUGUUAGGCUAGAAUAGGUGAGAGGAUGGUAGAAUUCCAGGUGUAGCGGUGAAAUGCGUAGAGAUCUGGAGGAAUACCGAUGGCGAAGGCAGCCUUCUGGCAUCAUAUUGACACUGAGGUUCGAAAGCGUGGGUAGCAAACAG
rnacentral:rRNA from 1 species